UGUGCUGUGCUGUGUGGUGCUUUGUC
rnacentral:piRNA from 1 species